UACACUCCUGCGGGAGGCAGCAGUGGGGAAUUUUGGACAAUGGGCGAAAGCCUGAUCCAGCAAUGCCGCGUGCAGGAUGAAGGCCUUCGGGUUGUAAACUGCUUUUGUACGGAACGAAAAAGCUCCUUCUAAUACAGGGGGCCCAUGACGGUACCGUAAGAAUAAGCACCGGCUAACUACGUGCCAGCAGCCGCGGUAAUACGUAGGGUGCGAGCGUUAAUCGGAAUUACUGGGCGUAAAGCGUGCGCAGGCGGUUAUGUAAGACAGAUGUGAAAUCCCCGGGCUCAACCUGGGAACUGCAUUUGUGACUGCAUGGCUAGAGUACGGUAGAGGGGGAUGGAAUUCCGCGUGUAGCAGUGAAAUGCGUAGAUAUGCGGAGGAACACCGAUGGCGAAGGCAAUCCCCUGGACCUGUACUGACGCUUAUGCACGAAAGCGUGGGGAGCAAACAGGAUUAGAUACCCUAGUAGUCCCAU
rnacentral:rRNA from 1 species